GCGGAGAGCAGUUGUCCCUCUUUUUCUCCUGCUGGCCCCUAAUGAAAAAGCAGUUAGCCUCACUUGCUGCUGGAGCCAGCCUGAAGCUUUGAGAGGAAUCGGGGAAUCAGUCUGAGGAUGGAGCUGAAACAGCAGAGUAGAGAGAAAAGGAACUACUGGUGACAUUGAGCUGCUGAACAACCAACCUGGAAGCGUCCUCUGCCUCUGCUCCAAUAUCAGCUACUAACUUUUGGUGUUAAAGCUGUUUCACUUGUUUUUUCUGUUACUUGCAAUCAAAAGCAUUCUAAAUGACACAGCAAGAUUGAAACCCAGGCUUAUCUGACCCCCGUGUGAAACCUCAUGUCCUACUGCUUUCCACUUUCCUAGCUGAUGGUCUUAAACUCACAUCUUUAUCAGCAGGCAGUAGCACCACUGCUGAGUCAGCCAGUCUGCAGCAUUUUUGGGGCAGUUUGUUCUCUGGCUGGAAGAAUGAAGUUCAAGAGGUAACUGGUGGACAUCUAAGGGCACUCUUUCAAAUUGGUGACUGGAGAUCAUUAGAACAAGCUGAAGGCUAUUUCUAGAUAUAAAGUAAUGAAAACCUCUUCUUGGGAUCAAUCCAGCCAAGGAAGGCUGUGGAGUAGGGCAGAUUUCAAUGAGGACCAGAGAGCAAUGCUUCAAUAGCAUGUGAACAGAGACACUCAGAAGGAAGGAAUACCAAGGAAGGGAAGAUGAGGCUCAUUGAAAGCAAAGAUACAAGCACCGUGAUAUGCUUUGGGUCCAUGUCCCUUGCAAAAUCUCAUGUGGAUUUGGAAUCCUCACUGUUGGAGGAGGGGUCUGGUGGGAGGUGAUUGGAUCAAGAGGUAGAUUACCCCCUUGCUGUUCUCGUGAUAGUGAGUUCCCAUGAGAUCUGGAUCUUUAAAAGUGUGUGGCACCUUCCUGCCUCUCUUCUUCCUCCUGCUCAGGCCAUGUAAGAUGUGCCUGCUUCCCCUUCACCUUCCACCAUGAUUGUAAGUUUCCUGAGGUUUUCCCAUCCAUGCCUCCUGUACAGCCUGUGGAACCAUGAACCAAUUAAACCUCUUUUCUUUAUAAAUUACCUAGUCUCAGGCAUUUCUUUAUAGCAAUGUGAAAACAGACUAACACACACCCCAUCUCUGUGUCCCCAAUAAUUGGUUGAUCAUAGACACUCAGUACAUCUUAAUGGAACAAAUGAAUAAAUGAAUGAACAAAAAGAAGCCUGGAAUUGGAUGAGUUAGAACACUUUGGGAAAUAAUUUUCUGAUUAAUUGAACUUCUGGUUCAUUGACAAAUACUUUU
rnacentral:lncRNA from 10 species